GCGGGAGUAGCUCAGUUGGUUAGAGCAUUAGCCUUCCAAGCUGAGGGUCGCGGGUUCGAAUCCCGUCUCCCGCUCCA
rnacentral:tRNA from 1 species